rnacentral:rRNA from 1 species
AGUGAACGCUGGCGGUAUGCCUAACACAUGCAAGUCGAACGGCAGCACAGUAAGAGCUUGCUCUUACGGGUGGCGAGUGGCGGACGGGUGAGGAAUACAUCGGCAUCUACUUUUUCGUGGGGGAUAACGUAGGGACACUUACGCUAAUACCGCAUACGACCUACGGGUGAAAGCAGAGGAUCUUCGGACCUUGCGCGAUUGAAUUAGCCGAUGUCGGAUUAGCUAGUUGGCGGGGUAAAGGCCCACCAAGGCGACGAUCCGUAGCUGGUCUGAGAGGAUGAUCAGCCACACUGGAACUGAGACACGGUCCAGACUCCUACGGGAGGCAGCAGUGGGGAAUAUUGGACAAUGGGCGCAAGCCUGAUCCAGCCAUACCGCGUGGGUGAAGAAGGCCUUCGGGUUGUAAAGCCCUUUUGUUGGGAAAGAAAAGCAGCAGGUUAAUCCCCCGCUGUUCUGACGGUACCCAAAGAAUAAGCACCGGCUAACUUCGUG